rnacentral:rRNA from 1 species
UACGUAGGGGGCGAGCGUUGUCCGGAUUUAUUGGGCGUAAAGAGCGUGUAGGCGGCCAGGUAGGUCUGCUGUGAAAACUCGAGGCUCAACCUCGAGACGUCGGCGGAAACCAUCUGGCUAGAGUCCGGAAGAGGAGAGUGGAAUUCCUGGUGUAGCGGUGAAAUGCGUAGAGAUCAUGAGGAAGACCAAUGGCGAAGGCGGAUCUCUAGACAGUUCCUAACACUGAGGCACGAAGGCCAGGGGAGCAAACGGG